rnacentral:lncRNA from 1 species
CCAGGAGUUUGAGACCAGCCUGGACAACAUGGUGAGACCACAUCUCUAAUGAAAAGAAGCAAAGAAGCUGCCUGAGGAACUGAUACACUGAAACAAAGGAGUGAACCAAAACAGAGGAAGACAGGACAUACAGUCUCAGAAAGGUGAAGAAAAAUCCCAGGAUGACAGGUGAGCACUGGGCCCAAAGAGCAACCAGGGCAAGUAGCAGGUCGAAAGAUUCUAGUAGUGCUAUUAUCAGGAAGAGUCACACACACACACACACCCCUCACGUGUCUAAUUGUAUUAGAAGAGGUUACAGGACUGGGAAACAGUAGACCAGAAGCUUAAUUCAUGACUAGACACAGAAAACUAGAAAACCAACCAAUUAACCAAAUGACAAUAAAUAAAGAAAGAAAGAAAUAAAACCACCACUAGGGAAACAAAAAUUGUGCAAGAAAGGAAAAGUCGUAAUAACAACCAUAAUAUACCACAUAACCUGGUGUGAAUACUAUUUACAUAGCCAUUAAAAUGUGAACCUGCAAUGUUAAUUUAACAAAAAUUAUGACACAGCUAUAAUGGGUUGGUAGGGAUAUGGGCAGUGUAUAUAUGUGUGUAGUUCAGGUGGAGGAGGGUGCAGAGAGAAGUGAUUCUUCAUCUUCUAUGAUGGAAAGCCAAUAGGUAAAACCUAAAAUUGAAAAAAAAAUUACAAAUUAAGUUAUUAGAGAGAUGGAGAUGAAUACCAAAAGUUGUCAAAGAGAAAUACGUAAAACUACAGGGCUUUAAAACAUAAAGUUGUUUUUUUAAAAAAGAAAUCCCUUGUUCCUACUUGUCACCAACCACUUACCACUCCCCUAGACAUCAGUUUUACCUUCGCUGUGUCCUGUUGUUUGUCGAUAUUGUUCUGUCAACACACAUUUGUGGACCAGCUCCUGACACACUGUGCUGAUUAUUGAGGUGACCAAGAUGAACAGCAUCCCUAACUUGGAGAAGCUCAGAUUAUACCAAGGUUUCAGAUUCUUUGGAGAAAGUUGUGAAACAAUGGAGACUUUACUGAAAUCGGCAACACAAAUGCUGGGAUUCAAGCUUUCUUCACCCUUUCUAAUUCUCCAGAAAAAAACAACAUCAAAUCGAUGAUCCAUGGGGUCCCAGUCUGAGUUCUUUGCCUACUGAAGAUCUACUCUUACUUUUACUCAUUCUGUUUGAAUUGUGAUGAGGAUUUUCUCAGAAAGAUUAAAGGAGGACCUAGUGCAAAAGUGUCUUUAGCAUUUCCUGUAGCUACUGAUUGAUAUUAUCAUUCAAGGAGACUUAAACAUCAUUCCUCUGAAUUCCUAUACCUCGAUGGCUGCUUUGCCUGUCGGUAUCCACAUUGAUUCACCUUUGGGUCAGA